rnacentral:rRNA from 1 species
AGAGGUGCUUGCACCUCUUGGUUAGCGGCGGACGGGUGAGUAACACGUGGGCAACCUGCCUGUAAGACUGGGAUAACUUCGGGAAACCGGAGCUAAUACCGGAUAAUCCUUUUCCUCUCAUGAGGAAAAGCUGAAAGUCGGUUUACGCUGACACUUACAGAUGGGCCCGCGGCGCAUUAGCUAGUUGGUGAGGUAACGGCUCACCAAGGCGACGAUGCGUAGCCGACCUGAGAGGGUGAUCGGCCACACUGGGACUGAGACACGGCCCAGACUCCUACGGGAGGCAGCAGUAGGGAAUCUUCCGCAAUGGACGAAAGUCUGACGGAGCAACGCCGCGUGAGCGAUGAAGGCCUUCGGGUCGUAAAGCUCUGUUGUUAGGGAAGAACAAGUACCGGAGUAACUGCCGGUACCUUGACGGUACCUAACCAGAAAGCCACGGCUAACUACGUGCCAGCAGCCGCGGUAAUACGUAGGUGGCAAGCGUUGUCCGGAAUUAUUGGGCGUAAAGCGCGCGCAGGCGGUCCUUUAAGUCUGAUGUGAAAGCCCACGGCUCAACCGUGGAGGGUCAUUGGAAACUGGGGGACUUGAGUACAGAAGAGGAAAGCGGAAUUCCACGUGUAGCGGUGAAAUGCGUAGAGAUGUGGAGGAACACCAGUGGCGAAGGCGGCUUUCUGGUCUGUAACUGACGCUGAGGCGCGA